rnacentral:rRNA from 1 species
GACGAACGCUGGCGGCGUGCUUAACACAUGCAAGUCGAACGGUGAUGCUCCACCUUGCUGGAGUGGAUCAGUGGCGAACGGGUGAGUAACACGUGAGCAACCUGCCCCAGACUCUGGAAUAAGCUCUGGAAACGGCGUCUAAUACUGGAUACGAAACUGGCCCGCAUGGGCAUGGUUUGGAAGGUUUGUCGGUUGGGGAUGGGCUCGCGGCCUAUCAGCUUGUUGGUGGGGUAGUGGCUCACCAAGGCGUCGACGGGUAGCCGGCCUGAGAGGGCGACCGGCCACACUGGGACUGAGAUACGGCCCAGACUCCUACGGGAGGCAGCAGUGGGGAAUAUUGCACAAUGGGCGAAAGCCUGAUGCAGCGACGCCGCGUGAGGGAUGACGGCCUUCGGGUUGUAAACCGCUUUCAGCAGGGAAGAAGCGAAAGUGACGGUACCUGGAGAAGAAGCACCGGCUAACUACGUG